rnacentral:rRNA from 1 species
UACGGAGGAUCCAAGCGUUAUCCGGAAUCAUUGGGUUUAAAGGGUCCGUAGGCGGAUCUGUAAGUCAGUGGUGAAAUCUCACGGCUCAACCGUGAAAUUGCCAUUGAUACUGCAGGUCUUGAAUUAUUGGGAAGUAACUAGAAUAUGUAGUGUAGCGGUGAAAUGCUUAGAGAUUACAUGGAAUACCGAUUGCGAAGGCAGGUUACUACCAAUACAUUGACGCUGAUGGACGAAAGCGUGGGGAGCGAACAGG